rnacentral:lncRNA from 1 species
UGGGUCUCUUGAAGACAAUAUAUAUAUGGGUGUUGUUUUUGUGUCCAUUCAGCCAGUCUAUGUCUUUUGGUUGGGGCAUUUAGUCCAUUAACAUUUAAGGCAAUUAUUGAUAUGUAUGUUCUUAUUGCCAUUUUAUUAAUUGCUUUGGAUUUGUUUUUGUUGCUCUUUUUUCUUCCCUUCUCUUGUUCUCUCCUCUUGUGGUUUGAUGACUAUCUUUAGUGUUGUAUUUGAAUUGAUUUUUCUUAUUUGUUUGUGUAUAAAUUGUAGAUUUUUGGUUUGCAGUUAUUCUGAAGUUUUGAUAUGAGUCUAUAUAUAUACAAGAUUGUAUUAAGUUGUUGGUCUCUUAACUGCAAGUACAUCUCCAGCAUCCUGCAUUUGUUCCCUCUUUUUCUCACAAUUUCUGAUUUGGUGGUAUAAUUGUGCGUGUAUGAUUUUGUAUCUUUACGGUAUAUGCCUUCACUGGUGAGCCUUGUCAUUUGUGGAAUUUUUGUUUCUGGUUUUGGCCUUUUCUUUUCUGCCUAGAGAAGUUUCUUUAGAUUUGUUGUAAAGCUGGUUUAGUGUUGCUGAAUUCAUUUAGCUUUUGCUUACCUGUGAAGCUUUUGAUUUCUCCUUCAAAUCCAAAUGAGAGCCUUGCUGGGUAGAGUAAUCUUGGUUGGAGGUUUUUUCCCUUUCAUCAGGUUAAGUAUAUCAUGCCACUCCCUUCUGGCCUGCAGAGUUUCUGCUGAAAAAUCUGCCAAUAACCUUAUCGGGGUUCCCUUGUAUGUUAUUUGUUUCUUUUCCCUUGUUGUUUUCAAUAUUUUCUCUUUGUCUUUAAUUUUGGUCAGUUUCAUUAAUAUGUGUCGUGGGGUAUUCCUCCUUGGGUUUAUUUUAUAUGGUACUUGUUGCACUUCCUGGAUUUGAGUGAGUGGUUCCUUUCCCAUGGUAGGGAAGUUUUCAGCUAUUAUCUCUUGGAAUAUUUUUUCUGUCCCGUUCUCUCUCUCUCUUCUCCUUCUGGCACCUCUAUAAUAUGGAUGUUGGUGCGUUUCACAUUGUCCCAGAGUUCUCUGAGACUCUCUUCAUUUGUUUUUGAUCUUUUUUCUGUUCUGCAUCUGUGAUUUCCACUAAUCUGUCCUCCACCUCGCUUAUUCAUUCUUCUGCCUCCUGUAUUCUGCUGUUGGCUGUUUUCUAAUGAAUUUUUAUCUCAGUUAUUGUAUUUUGCAUCUCUUCUUGCUUAAGUUUUAUAUUUUGUAUCUCUUUGCUCAGUGUUUCCUGUAAAUUAUCCAUCUUUGCCUCCAGUUUAUUUCCAAUGUCUUGCAUCAUCUUCAGCAUCAACAGUCUGAAGUCUUUUUUCUGAAGGCUGAGAAUCUCCUGAUCACUUAGCUGUUUUUCUAGGGUUUUUUCUUUCUCCCUUAUCUGAUUUAUAGUUCUCUGUCUUUUCAUUUGUAUAGGUUUUUGGUGUGGUGACCUUUUUACAGAUAAUAGAGUUGUAGCCUCUCUUACUUCUGGUGUCUGCCCCCUUUGUGGCUGAUGUUUGUAUGGGGGCUUCCUGUAGGCUUCCUGAUGGGAGGGACUGAUACCUGUCCACUGGUAGGUGAAGCUGAUUCCUAUCCCUCUGGUGGGUGGGGCUUUGUCUCUGGAUGAGAUUAGAGGCAAGUGUGUGCCUGGUGGGGGGGUUCUUUAGGCAGUGUGUUUACUGAUGGGUUGGGCUGUGAGCCCAUCUGGAUAGUUGUUUGACCUGGGUCUUCUCAGUGCUGAUGGGUGGGGCCAUAUUUUCUCAAAAUGGCCACCUCUAGAGAAAGGCACACUGAUGAAUAUUCCCAAGAGCUUUGCUUCCAAUGUCCUCCCCUACAACAAGCCACAUUCACCCCUGUUUUGCCAGGAGGUCCUCCAAGAACUGCAGUCAGGUCUGACCCAGGUUCCUAUGGAGACUUUGCUUUGACCUGGGAUCCAGUGCACGUGAAAGUCUGUGUGUGCCUUUUAAGAAUGGGGCCUCCACUUUCUCAGUCUUGUGGAGCUCCUGCACACAAGCCCCACCAGCCUUCAAUGCCAGAUGCUCCAGGGGCUCUUUCUCCCAGUCCCAGAUCCCCAAGCAUGGUGGUUUGAUGUGGGGCUCAGAACUUUCACUCCUGUAGGUGAGUCUCUGUGAUACAGUUACUUUCUAGUCUGUGAGGCUUCCCACCUGGGAGAUGGGGUUGCUUAUAUUGGGUAAUUACCCCUCCUAACUCUUGAUGCGGCCUCCUCUUUGUCUUCUGAAAUAGGAUAUCUUUUUGAAAGUUUCUGGUUCAUUUGGUUGAAGAUUGCUCAGCAUUUGGUUGUAAAUUUUGUUGUUUUUAGGAGAGUAGUUGAGCUCCAGUCCUUCCAUUCUGCCAGCUUAAUCCCAUCCUCCACAAACAUAGGCGUGGGAGCCCCACAAAGCUAGGAUGCUCAAAAGGUGCCCUUGAGCUUGAGGCUUUUACACCAUCUGAAAGUUAUUUUCUUUAAAGGAAAAAAAAAAGCAGCUUUAAAUACUGCAUUUAUUUUUAUUUUAUCACUAGGCUAUUCACUAAUAUAAGUAGUCCUGAUAACCCAGGGUCUCUUAAAUAUAAGGGGCUAAAAUAAUAUCUACAAUAAUGAAGCCAUGCUCAGAAGCUUUUAUAAAUUUCUAAAUUGGAAAGUGUCAUUUGUGGAUUAAUUCUCUUAUCUAAUUAAUGUUUCAUGCAUCUCUGAGUGACCUUUCACCUUCUCUUAUUAGAUUUCAAGUGUGAUGUAUAUAUGAAAUAAAAAAGAAUAUGCUUCAUUAUGAGCAUUUUGCUGGUAAGAAUAUAAAAAAUCCUUAUACUUUAUUUUCCAAAGAAUAUAUCAGUGAAAGAGAAACAUUCACAUUAAAAAUAUGCAGUUUUAUAGCAUAACUUAUCCUUUAAUGUCCAAGUUUUGAGUUUUGCUAGAUAAAUUUAAACACAUGAGUAUAUUUUAUAUAUUAAAAAUGAAAAUUUUUAGAUGGCUGUAAUCAUAUAGAGAAUCACAAAACAAUUAAACUACUAAGAAUAUUAUAAGUUAUAUAAUAUUUUAUUAAAAGUAUUUUAGCCAUCCUUAUUUAUUUCUUAAACCAUGUACUAGUACAUAUUCCUAGCUAUUAUUUCAAUUUAUUUCUGCCAUUCCUCAAUUAUUUUAAAAGUGUAGCCAGAGAAAAACUGUAAAUACCACAUCCUAAAAUCAUGGCAAUUCUAAAUUAAGUAGUAAUCAGAAUUCACCUGUAGAACUCUGUUUAACUUAUGUUCACCACUCAUAUAAUUGUUUUCAAUGAAAAUUAAUUCUAGAAGGAGAAUCAAGAGAAUGAGGUUGAAAAUAUAUAUGUAUGAAAAAAUUUUUGUACAUGACCAUCAAACUGAUAUUAAUUUAAUGACCAUUUCCAUUUGGAGCAGAGCAUAAAUUUAUUUUGUAUUGUAGCUACAACUGGCAGCAUCUAUGUGAUGCAAGUUUGUGCCUAACUCUCGAACAUUUCCCAGACCUGCUUACUGAUUGUGCUUUUGUUUUAAGGGAAGAUCAUGUCAUCCAACUAAUAAUUAUAACAAUGAAAUGAGAAUAUCCCACAACUUAAAUUUACUUGUUACACACUAUCAGUAAGAGAUCCACCAUCAGAAAAAGUAGCAGAAAGCAAGAACAAUGGGGAAAUUUUGAGACUAUCUAUAACAAAACUAUAAGGGAUAAGAAACAGAAAAGAGUUAACAGGAUCAAAGAAGUCACCUAAUCUGGGAGGAGACACUGGCCCAGGAUUCCCUUCUGUUUUACAUUAUAGCUCUGACUACUUCAGAAGAUCUUGUGUUUAAGUAGACAAACCAGUCUAAUAAAGAAUCACCACAUAUUCUGUUGAAUUUAUAAUGUUCAAUGCAAUGCCAUAUCUCAGGGAAAGAAACUCCCAUGUAAGCAUCUUUACCCUUUGUAAAAAUCAUCUACAGCAGUGCUUCUUACACUCUAAUGUGAAUAUUAAUCACCUAGGGGAUCUUAUUAAAUACAGAUUCUGACUCAAAAAUCUGGGGUGGGGUCGGAAAUUCCACAUUUCUAACAUCCUGUUUUAAUGACAAUGCUGUAUAUUAUGAGUUACAUGAUUCCUUAAUACCUUACGGGUUCAGCUCCCUCCUAACAUAAAAAUAAAUAUUUUACUAUAAAUCAGAAGAUAGAUAGAAGUACUUUAAAAUUUGUACUUUCAAUGUUUCAUUCAAAAUAAUUUUUUUCCUCUCUUUGACGCAUAACUUAUUAUGUCUGUAUAAUCACAGAGGUGUGGUCAUUUCUGACUCCCAUAAAACAGUAUCAAAAAAUCUUAUAUGGGAAAAUUAAAAGAGAAUUAUUAAAGAGAUAAAUCCUGGG